GACGAACGCUGGCGGCGUGCCUAAUACAUGCAAGUUGAGCGAUGAAGAUUGGUGCUUGCACCAAUUUGAAGAGCAGCGAACGGGUGAGUAACGCGUGGGGAAUCUGCCUUUGAGCGGGGGACAACAUUUGGAAACGAAUGCUAAUACCGCAUAACAACUUUAAACAUAAGUUUUAAGUUUGAAAGAUGCAAUUGCAUCACUCAAAGAUGAUCCCGCGUUGUAUUAGCUAGUUGGUGAGGUAAAGGCUCACCAAGGCGAUGAUACAUAGCCGACCUGAGAGGGUGAUCGGCCACAUUGGGACUGAGACACGGCCCAAACUCCUACGGGAGGCAGCAGUAGGGAAUCUUCGGCAAUGGACGAAAGUCUGACCGAGCAACGCCGCGUGAGUGAAGAAGGUUUUCGGAUCGUAAAACUCUGUUGGUAGAGAAGAACGUUGGUGAGAGUGGAAAGCUCAUCAAGUGACGGUAACUACCCCGAAAGGGACGGCUAACUACGUG
rnacentral:rRNA from 1 species